rnacentral:lncRNA from 1 species
CUCUUGCUCGGUGCAUGAGCGGGCAGGAGAGGCCAAGGAGAGCAGCAGCAGAAACAGCUGUAGCGUGACUAGGGCUGCAGAAUGCAUGGCUGGUAAGCUUAAAACUUGCUCAUCUUAACCUGUUUGUGCAAUGGUUAUCUGGUAGCCGAUAGGUGGUGGUUUCCAGUGUUGCAGUGGUAUCGUUAUAACUAGAAGAUAGUGCUACUGUAGUUGCAUCAGAGUACAUCUUCUGUCACUGAGGUACGAUGGUGCCAUCAAGAGGCUGGGUACCAACCUACUAGUCCCUGACUCUUGGUUGGCUCUUGAGGUCCACUAACACCUUUUAGUCCUACAUUUGCACAUGGUCAAUCUGGUUCUUUCUGAGCAUGCCCAUUAAGGGCUCAAGAUGGCAAUGGGUAAUUACCCAACCGGGUAAAGCACUAAAGCCUCUCUUCUUUUCAUGCCCGUGAAAGCACAGGCUUGCCCAUUACCCCAUACGCACCGCGGGGAAGAAUUUCACUCAUACUCGUCGCCGACAGAUAAUUCUUGCCCACAGGUAUACCCGCCCUUUCUGAUGCCAACCUCCAGGAGCAAUUCACACAUAUCAAACCAGCAACUUAUUAUCCAAAAUCAUAACAUCCUGCAGUUCAAUAGCAUAGUUGCAUAGCACAAUUGCAUACCAUCACAUCAUAACACUUAUGACAAUCAAUUUGAUAGAAUAAUUGCACAGCACAAGUGUAUACCAUCAGAUCGUAACACUAUUAUCCAUUAAUUCAAUAGAAUAAUUGCACAACAAGUGCAUGCCAUCACAUCAUAACACUAAACAUCCAUCAAUUUAAUACUAGCAUAAUUUAAGCAUCGCAUCAUUAUCAUAACAAGUAGCAAGGUUCAAACGAUCAAGUAUCAAAACUCUCACAUCUCACAUCUCACAACUCUCAAGAGUAAUUCUAGAUGGCAUAGUUCAUUGCAAGACAAGUGACAAUGAUAAAGCUCAAAACUGAGCAACAAAAGACGGGGUUCACAUGUCAAGCCUCCACUACUGGGUACCCGUGGGUAACAGGUAUGGAUAAUUACUAAUGGACAAAGGUACAUGUACCUGUGUUACCCAGUGGGGAAGGAAUUUUGCCAUUUACUUACCCGUGGCUCAAACUCGUUCCUUAAUUGAGCAAUUACCCGCCGGGGAUCGGGUAACAGGUACCCGUUGCCAUCUUGUUAGGCUUUAUUGGUUCAUGGGGUCCACUAACACAUUUUAGGCAUACAUUUAGGGCUUGCUCACCUCUUACUUCGAUAAAUAAUCUUAGAAGUAAAGCUCCAAAUCAUAUGUUUUGUGUUUGUUUUCUAUGUUUGUUUAUGUUGGUUCUCAUACGUCCGCAACUUCAUACUACAUGGGUAAGCUUGUUACACAACCCAUACCACGGAUAAACCUCAUUGACCAUCAUAUUUUCAUUCCAGGUGAUGCCUUCCCAGGGAGCCAAAGCUGGUGGUGGGAGAGGCACCAUGCAUAGACAAGGACUAUUUGGAGAUGAAAAUCGAAAGAGGGGUUCAAUCUAAUUUAUCCAGAGCUACAGCCCUCCUCUAUAAUGAGCCUCCAAUAUAAGCUAAUCUAGGCCUCGCCUUGAAAGAUGGAGUUAAGUUAGGUUCAGAGGGCCUGCCUGCAAUAUAUAACUGUACUGAAUUGGUACCCAGAUGCUCAGCUCAUAAUCUUUUGCCAUCAGAUGAAAAUAUGUAAUGUGGUCGAAGAAGAUAGCUACGGUUGCAAAGGGUGGGAUGAUUAAGUUCGUUGCUGCCAUUUAUGUAGUUCUUUCUUCAAGAUACGGGAGCUCUAAUCUAUGUAAAUCACUUUGGUUCUUGAACUGGUGCAUCUACUUGCUCAGGGAAGCUAUAGAAGAGUGUCUAGAAUACUCCCUCCGUAAACUAAAUAAGAGUGUCUAGAAUACUAAAAUAGUGAUCUAAACGCUUUUAUAUUAGUUUACAGAGGGAAUAAUGAGUGUCUAGAAUACUCCCUUCGUAAACUAAUAUAAAAGUGUCUAGAAUACUAAAAUAGUGAUCUAAACGCUUUUAUAUUAG